CCUACGGGUGGCUGCAGUGGGGAAUAUUGCACAAUGGGGGAAACCCUGAUGCAGCAACGCCGCGUGAGUGAUGACGGCCUUCGGGUUGUAAAGCUCUGUCUUCAGGGACGAUAAUGACGGUACCUGAGGAGGAAGCCACGGCUAACUACGUGCCAGCAGCCGCGGUAAUACGUAGGUGGCGAGCGUUGUCCGGAUUUACUGGGCGUAAAGGGAGCGUAGGCGGAUUUUUAAGUGAGAUGUGAAAUACUCGGGCUUAACCUGAGUGCUGCAUUUCA
rnacentral:rRNA from 1 species